GAAUAUUGGACAAUGGGCGCAAGCCUGAUCCAGCAAUACCGCGUGUGUGAAGAAGGGUUUCGGCUCGUAAAGCACUUUCAGUAGGGAGGAAAGGUUGUAAGUUAAUACCUUGCAGCUGUGACGUUACCUACAGAAGAAGCACCGGCUAACUCCGUGCCAGCAGCCGCGGCAAUACGGAGGGUGCAAGCGUUAAUCGGAAUUACUGGGCGUAAAGCGCGCGUAGGCGGAGGGUUAAGUUUCAUGUGAAAGCCCUGGGCUCAACCUGGGAACUGCAUGGAAUACUGGUCAUCUAGAAUACAGGAGAGGGUAGUGGAAUUUCAGGUGUAGCGGUGAAAUGCGUAGAGAUCUGAAGGAACAUCAGUGGCGAAGGCGACUACCUGGACUGAUAUUGACGCUGAGGUGCGAAAGCGUGGGGAGCAAACAGG
rnacentral:rRNA from 1 species